UUUGGCAUCCUAAAGAAGUCAAUUCUAUGUUUAUGUAACAACCUCUAAUUCUUUCUCUUUCUAUUUUUUCAGGUUGAUCGGUGCUUGAACCAGGAGGAAGCCAGAGCAGAACUCUACCCAUCCCAGACCACCAAAACAAAAUUACUGGAUGUGAUGAAAUAUGUUUUGCUGGAAAGAAAUGCAAAGAAGUGGGCUCAGAAGCAAAACGCCGAGGGGAUGGAAGCUGAAGAUCGGGAGCUGUUAUCCAAAUAUGCUAGCUUGAAGCUUGAAUAGUAGGAUAGCUCUGCUGCCAUUGUUGCCAGCAUCGCAUGAGUGAUGUCUGCGCCUUGGAGCAUUACAAAGGAAGCCGAAAUCCACAGCUAGUGGCAUUUCAGGGUGUAUAUAGGACUAUGAAAUCCUUUAAACUAGUAUACUAUAGUUUUAUUAUAAUAUUCAGCAUGAAUUGCGUAUGAUCUGUAAUCCAACUCUCCUAAGUUUGACAGUGAAGUUAGUUAAAUGGUUUAACUUAUCU